UCCGAGUUCACCCCGGCGGUCUCCCUAGAGUCCCCACCGUAAAUGUUGGUAACUAAGGACGAGGGUUACGCUCGUUGCAGGACUUAACCCAACAUGUCACCACACGAGCUGACGACAGCCAUGCAGCACCUAGGCCCCUGUGGCGUUACACACCCCAGCUGAAUUUCCCCAGCUUUCAGGAGCCGUCCAACCCAGGUAAGGUUCUGCGCGUUGCUUCGAAUUAAACCACAUGAUCCACCGCUUGUGCGGGUCCCCGUCAAUUCCUUUAAGUUUUAGUCUUGCGACCGUACUCCUCAGGCGGGGUACUUAACGCGUUAGCUUCGUCCCGGCAGGGGUUAAGACCCGCCAAAACCAGUACCCAUCGUUGACUGCGUGGACUAC
rnacentral:misc_RNA from 1 species